GCACAUUGCCAAUAUAUUUAUGAUCAUAUCUUGCCGAAAACCCAAGCGCCCGGUACCCCGUCAUCCCAACCAGCAGACAAUGACAAAGAACAAACUCAUUACAUCGCAGUAGUCUGCGUAGUAAAAUAAUCCAAUCAAAACAUCAUAAUUCAUGAUCUUAGUUCUAUCGCCUUCAACGCACUCGAGAGUCCCGCCGGCGAGACGGGCUGCGACAUGGACGAUGGUGACACAGCUUCCUUUUCUGCCUCCGAAACAUGAAUGGGGUUGAUGGUGGGGAUUGUUAGGACUGUCUCCGCCUGCGUCGGGAGCGUGUCUUGAGUUUGCAAGGUGAGAAGAGUGGAGGAACUCAUGUUUACGUCCACUGGGUGUGGUGUUCGCGGGCCUGUGCUGUGACUACUAUUUGGACCGCCACCGAGAACGCCCUGUUGUUCCGAAAUGGCGGUCGUAGUUGGCGGUGAAGCAAACAGGGAGGAUGAAACCAUUCUUGCAUCUGAUGCACCGUCCGAUGGCAUUAGAUGAUACGACUGAUUCGUUGCACCGACUCCGCCAUCGAUGUACUGCACAAUUCCGCCCUCACUCGUCACACUCCCUCUCCGUGAUGGUGGUGCCCUCGUGCCCAUCGGCGAGAGCUCUGAAAGCAUCGACCGCGGCCGAUCCGCGCUCAACAUUGCUCCUGAUAUCGAAUAUGCGGCCAGCCGCUUGAUAUGUGCUUCAUCGAAUGGGCCCCGGUAUUUCGACCGUGGUAUUUCGUGUGCCUUGUAUAGCUCAAUUUUCGGCUUGCUUGGUUUGAUUCCACCCUUUUUGUGAUGACCGUGGGCCUGCCUGGACCAGUAGCCGCUCUUGGGAUGGCUAGAUUUCUGGUUCUUGGAGUUUUUGGAUGUUUGGGGGGGAGAGGAGGUGGGGAGGGAGCCGGAGCGGGAGAAAACUCGCUUGAUCUUCUCGCGGAGGGGCUUUAUGGACAUGUUGGCGAAUGUCCGAAUGUUCGACCUCGAGGAAUUGCUCCUCGAUUGAGGUCACAGAAGGAGGCACAACAGAACGGUUUGGUAUUUGGGAGGUGAGAGGAGCGUCAAAGAUAGAAGCUACCUGUCGAGAAGCACUGAUCAUGGCUUCAAGACGGAAAGCGCACCUUUUGGCCUGCUGGAGAAGAAGGAGAAGAUUUUUAUGGCCAAAAUACGGAGUAUGGGGACGUUAAUGAUAGAAAUGGUAGAGUCGAGUUCAGAUUUGUUCGGUUCCUUGGAUCCGCCAACUCUGGCCCGCGGCCGAGACGCAACGGAGAAAGAAGCUUGAAGCUUUGGUUCGGAAGCAGGGCAACGGGUGAUGGGAAGCGAACGGUUCAUAUAUUGAUCUCGGCAAUGUUGAAACUUUCGGUUUCCGUUUCCAAAAAUUUCAACACGGAAUGAAUGGAAAAUCAUAACAGAUACCAGAACACCACGAUGGCGAGAAG
rnacentral:sRNA from 1 species